GACAAACGCUGGCGGCAUGCCUAACACAUGCAAGUCGAACGGACAGAACAGGGAAGCUUUUCGCAGUGGUACUGGACGGAUAGUGGCGGAAGGGUGAGUAACCCGUGGACAACCUAUCUUGUAAAGGGGAAUAACCUCGAGAAAUCGAAGCUAAUACCCUAUAAUAACCUUGCUUCGCAUGAAGUACGGAGGAACGGUGACCUUAGCGUUGUUGCUACCAGAUUGGUCCGCGUCUGAUUAGCUAGUUGUUGAGGUAAAGGCUAACCAAGGCGACAAGCAGUGGCCGGCUUGAGGGGGUGAAGGGCAAAAUUGGGAUGGAAACACGGCCAAAAUUCCUAGGGAGGGCAGCAGUGGGGAAUUUUCCGAAAUGGGGGAAAGCCUGAGGAAGCAAUGCGGGGUGAGUGAAGAAGGCCUUCGGGUUGUAAAACUCUUUCCUUGGGGAAGAGAGAGUGGUGUGGUAAUUGACAAUACUAGGACGGUAGAUGAGAAGGAGGCCCGGGCAAACUAUGU
rnacentral:rRNA from 1 species